GCUGCUAAAAAAACAUGAAAUCACAGAGAAAGGGGGAGAAAAAGGAGAUAAUAAAAAGGAAGCAGAUCUCUUGUGGUAAAAGCGCAAGUAAAACGCAGCACAGCAGCGGCAACAAGCAGAUCUGCUUGCAGGAGGGUGAAAUUAAUUAGUGUUAGUUAGUGGGUUGGGUUGGGGGGGCUGUGCUGUGCAUGCAUAUAUGUGUGGUGAUCGAGAUCGCCUACCCGGCGCUGCCGAACUCGUAGAGCUUGCCGCGGCUGGAGAAGAUGAUGAGCGCGACCUCGGCGUCGCAGAGCACGGAGAGCUCGUAGGCCUUCUUGAGCAGGCCGUUGCGGCGCUUGGAGAAGGUGACCUGGCGGUUGAUCUUGUUCUCGAUCCGCUUGAGCUCAACUCGUCCCCUCCCCAUGGCGACGUACGAUCUCUAGCUUCCCUCCUUCCUUCGAUCGAGCUUGCUCUAUAUCUCACACACGGGCGUCUCUGUGUGCAGCGUGGUUGCUCUCCUCGUUUUGUGGCUGCUG
rnacentral:misc_RNA from 1 species